rnacentral:rRNA from 1 species
AGUGAACGCUGGCGGCGUGCCUAAUACAUGCAAGUCGAACGGAGUGGCGCACGGGUGAGUAAUGUAUAGCUAAUCUGCCCUACACUAGAGGACAACAGUUGGAAACGGCUGCUAAUACUCGAUAGUGAAGGAUUAGGCUAUAUUGUAUAAGCUAGUUGGUGAGGGAAUGGCUCACCAAGGCUAUGACGCAUAACUGGUCUGAGAGGAUGAUCAGUCACACUGGAACUGAGACACGGUUCAGAAUCCUACGGGAGUCAGCAGUAGGGAAUAUUGCUCAAUGGGGGACUCCCUGAAGGAGCAACGCCGCGUGGAGUAUGACACUUUUCGGAGCGUAAACUCCUUUUGUUAGGGAAGCGGUACCUAACGAAUAAGCACCGGCUAACUCCGUGCCAGCAGCCGCGGUAAUAC